GAAAGUGCUGAGCUCUGCGCUCAGCUAUUGUCAAAACAAUUCUAUCUUUACAAACCCCCGUAUACUUGUAGAGUGCUUUCACCACGCAAAACAGAAUAAUUUCCCGCAAAGAUAUUGUGCCGCAGCAGACCUGGCAAGUACUGGAAUGAUCGGAUUCAGCUUGUAGAUACAGAAAAGGGGAGCCAUGAAAUACACCGCACUCGCACUUAUUCUUCCACUGUUUAUGCAUUUGGGUAGAUCCACUACGGUUCAGAAUUGUACGUCAUCACCCUGUGAUCUGAAAUGUAGUGGUAGCGCGAAAUGCGAACAGGAAUGUAACGCAGCGGUCUGCGGGAUGUCUUGCAGCAGCAGCGGUGGCUGCAAUUCCAAGUGCCUCCGUGGUGGAUGCUCAGCAAUGUCUUGUAAUAUUUCUGCACCUUCGAAGAAUGAUUGUGACCAAUCUUGUACAGAGAAUUGUCACAACAUGGAUUGUAAUGCAUUUAUAUGCAGGCCAAAUUGCGUUAAAGACAACUGUAAAAUGACUUGUGCAGGGCCAAGUAAUUCCUUUUGCUACCCAGUUUGCUUUGGAAAAGGCUGUGAAAUCAAUUGCAAAUCUACCAAUUGUGAGUCACGUUGCACUGGCGGCGGUUGUACUGUGAAGUACGGAAAAGGGGCCUCUGGUGUGUUGGCUUGCCCCGCCAACUGUACUUUUAUUUGCGCAACAGGGAGCGUUUGCCAAUACAUAUCUGGUUCUGCUAAGCCGAUUUUCGUCGACGAUCCAUUUGCAGUGCCCACGAGCAAGCCAAGAGGAAGUAGCCUUGCAACAACCAAACCUAACAGUGCUCCCGAUCGGAGUAUCUUACCUUUUAUAUUGUACUUUGCUUUUGCAUUCUUGGUCAUAAUCGAGUCAUAAUCUAACGAGGCUGAUUUUGCUCGUCUUGCAGAUGCAACAUUUCGUAUAGACUGCUCACUUUGUACAAAUAUGGCGUUCAUUUUUCCCUAUUAGCUUAUUUUUCAGCUUGGAUUUUAAUUUUUGUUCUUUGUCACAUAUUUUGACAGAUAUAAUUAAUCAUGACUUUACACAA